rnacentral:sRNA from 1 species
UUUUUUUUUUUUUUUUUUUUAUUUUAUUUUUAUAAACAUAAGAGACAAAUCAAGUCCACGAGCUUAGAGAAAAUAAAUGCAUGAGUCUAUAUUACUUUUGGCAACAACAUUUGAGAGUGUCUUUACGAGAACGAGAAGCACACUGUCCACAGUCAUUCAUACAUUCUUUCCCUUUUUGUUUGUAUUUGCAAAUUUAUAAAUACAGUUUAAGUAUGUUGACCUAUUGUUUUCUCUAAAAUUUAUUAGAGCCCGGAUAGAGAUAUGAUCGACCACAUCAAGAAAUAAGAUCAAGUAGAUUUUUUGCGUAUAUUUGGCUUAUGUUUUGCUUAUGUUUUGCUUAGUAUUUAUUUUUGGUCAAUUGUUUUUAAAAAACUGUUAUUAUCUUUUAAUGUCAUAUAUUUAUCUUUUGCAACUACAUAUAGAACAUCAUAUUACCAUAUCUCACUAAUCAAAUACAUCUACUUCCGGAGGCACCCAAGUCGAUCUCACCAUUAAGAUGUAGAAGGUUAGAUUAUUUGUAUUAUUUUUGUUUUAUUGUAUAAAUGUUUCCUAAUAAAUAAAUAUACAGAAAUGAAGGAUCAAAAGCUCGAGAGUUGGUGGAUGGGUAUCGUAUUGUCGUCCUUGAACAUUGCGUCCUCUAGCAGACCAUAUAUUAUCCAACCGUUUUUUUCACUAUUCAAACUGAUUAUGCAAUGAAAGUGGAGUGGGACGGCGAGAUCAUGAGCAUGAAUACUUUUGGCCUGCACACGAAAAUGCAAAUAGGAUCCGACUAUUUUCAUGACAGUGUUUUGGAAAUCCGCUUACAUGUGUAACAUAGAAAUUUCACUGUCCAAAAAUGAUUUCCAACCACUUACGAAAUAGUAGUAAGAGGAAGUCACCCCGAUUAUUACAGCCCCAAGAAGUCGAACAAUAUUCCUGAACUUGGGACACAUUUUUAUUGGGGAUUCUUUUUUUUUUAUCGGAAGCAUGAGCUAGCAGCUUAACCCGCGACAUGUGACCGUUGCUCAUCUUACAUGGGACUCGACUCUCCUAUAUCUAAGUUUCGGCUUGGUGUUCUUACUUGUUUAUUUUUUUAAAAAAGAAGAGGAAGUUCUUCACUAUUAUAUUAAUGUCAUUAUGAUCAAUCUAUAUCUUACGUUACAUGCAAAAUUUUCUUACAUAUUUGAAUGUUGGAAAUAUUUAUUUAGAGUUAGGUGUAUGGUAGAAGUUUUAUUUGAUUUCAAAACUGAAAUAAAAACUACAUUUAAAAUAUGUAAAAUUAUUAACUCUUUGUGCUAGUGGUUGUCUAACCUAAUUAGAUUGGUUGGUGCAUUGUCUAUUUGGUCCGACCGAUAUAGGAGACCGGUCUUUUCAUUUCAUUAGUUUCCUCCUGAGUCCUGAGAGAUAUCACAUACUAAUUGUCAAAUUUAAUAAAGUAGUGAGACUGUUUUUUUUUCUCCCAUAAAGAAAAGAAGAAGAUAGUACUAAUAAGUAAUAACUAAUAAAUAGAGGUGAGACGAAAAAAGAGAAUAGGACCCCAGAAUAAAUGAUGAACCAUAAUUAUGAAGCCACGUAUGUAACAGUCCACGUCUGUUCGUACACCCGCCGCGGAUAAUGAAUGAUCGCUUAAAAGCUCUGGUCUGGACGCUCUUUACUUUCCCCCUUUAUCAACCACUUUUCUGGUAACAUGUUUACAUUUUGGAGUUGCUUACUUUGCCACUCGUUUUUCUUUUUUUUUGGUCACAACUUUGCCACUCGCUUCUUUAUGUUUCUUAAAAUGUUUUUUUCUUAAGUACCAAUUGUUAUUAUACCUAUAUUUAGGCAUGCCAUAGUCAAAGAUAUAGUUAAUUCAUGAUAUUAAAUAAGGUUUAUUAGUGGUUUAGGUUUAACGCUUAGUUCGAUUAUUGAUUUAGAUCUUUUGUUACUAGAACACUAAUCUUAAACAAUCAAUUAAAACACACAAACCAGAAAG